CUCAGACAUUCUGGUCCUCACGGGCCAAGCUGGCCAGAGCUCCAAUCCCUUAUCACAGUGACCAAACUACAUAGAGAAAAAGAGGCAUGAAAACAAGGACUCUUACAAGACUUGCCAAAUGUUAGGCUGAACAAGUGAAAUAGCCAUUUUUAUGGGUUACAAAACAGUUAGACAUCAGUAACGGCAUUGAGUUCCACCUAAUUUGAACCAACGGGAAAGGUCAAUACUUAAUUGGAUUAAAAGAAGAAACACCUGGAGAUAAAAUAGCUAACAGAGGAAACAACAACAGCAAAAACACUUUCAAUAAGUAAAAUUAAUAUCAGAGAGGAUCAAGAGGUUAUUACACUCCUAGAAAAGAGACAGAGACCGACAUGCUAUGGCCUCCGAAGAAAAAUUGAUACACAAAUAAACUGGUCUUUUG
rnacentral:lncRNA from 10 species